rnacentral:rRNA from 1 species
UACAGAGGGUGCGAGCGUUAAUCGGAAUUACUGGGCGUAAAGCGCGCGUAGGCGGCUGGAUAAGUCGAUUGUGAAAGCCCCGGGCUCAACCUGGGAAUUGCAGUCGAGACUGUUCGGCUAGAGUGUGGGAGAGGGUGGUGGAAUUCCCGGUGUAGCGGUGAAAUGCGUAGAUAUCUGGAGGAACACCGGUGGCGAAGGCGGCGCUCUGGGAACGUUACUGACGCUGAGACACGAAAGCGUGGGGAGCAACAGG